rnacentral:rRNA from 1 species
UGGCGGCGCGCAUAAACAUGCAAGUCGAGCGAGGGCUCAUUCCCCGCAAGGGGAGUGGGUUCCUAGCGGCGAACGGGUGAGUAACACGUGGGCAACCUUUCCUAUCGCGGGGGAUAACAGCGGGAAACCGCUGCUAAUACCGCAUGUCGUCACCGGUCGCAUGGCCGGUGAAAAAAGCAGCAAUGCACGAUGGGGUGGGCCCGCGGCCUAUCAGCUAGUCGGUGGGGUCACGGCCUACCGAGGCGAUGACGGGUAGCUGGUCUGAGAGGACGACCAGCCACACGGGGACUGAGACACGGCCCCGACUCCUACGGGAGGCAGCAGUGAGGAAUCUUCCGCAAUGGGCGAAAGCCUGACGGAGCGACGCCGCGUGUGGGAUGAAGUCCUUCGGGAUGUAAACCACUGUUGGAGGGGAAGACAACUGACGGUACCCUCCGAGAAAGCCCCGGCUAACUACGUGCCAGCAGCCGCGGUAAUACGUAGGGGGCUAGCGUUAUCCAGAAUUACUGGGCGUAAAGCGCGUGUANGCGGCUGGUUAAGUGUGAUGUGAAAUCUUCGGGCUCAACCCGAAAACUGCA